rnacentral:rRNA from 1 species
GCAAGUCGAGCGGAAACAAAGAGUAGCUUGCUACUCUGGCGUCGAGCAGCGGACGGGUGAGUAAUGCUUGGGAAAAUGCCUUGAGGUGGGGGACAACAGUUGGAAACGACUGCUAAUACCGCAUAAUGUCUACGGACCAAAGGGGGCUUCGGCUCUCGCCUUUAGAUUGGCCCAAGUGUGAUUAGCUAGUUGGUGAGGUAAUGGCUUACCAAGGCGACGAUCCCUAGCUGGUUUGAGAGGAUGAUC